rnacentral:rRNA from 1 species
UGGGGAAUAUUGCACAAUGGGCGCAAGCCUGAUGCAGCCAUGCCGCGUGUAUGAAGAAGGCCUUCGGGUUGUAAAGUACUUUCAGCGGGGAGGAAGGCGAUAAGGUUAAUAACCUUGUCGAUUGACGUUACCCGCAGAAGAAGCACCGGCUAACUCCGUGCCAGCAGCCGCGGUAAUACGGAGGGUGCAAGCGUUAAUCGGAAUUACUGGGCGUAAAGCGCACGCAGGCGGUCUGUCAAGUCGGAUGUGAAAUCUCCGGGCUCAACCUGGGAACUGCAUUCGAAACUGGCAGGCUAGAGUCUUGUAGAGGGGGGUAGAAUUCCAGGUGUAGCGGUGAAAUGCGUAGAGAUCUGGAGGAAUACCGGUGGCGAAGGCGGCCCCCUGGACAAAGACUGACGCUCAGGUGCGAAAGCGUGGGGAGCAAACA